rnacentral:lncRNA from 1 species
GCGGUGGUUACCGUACUCUCAAAUCUAGGCAGUAGGCUCGCUGAGCCGGGAACUCCCAGGCUAUCCUGGGGAUGCCACCAGGCAGCACAGACACUGGGACAGUUUCCUGCAGCAUACACAAGGGCAGGAAUUCACUGACGGGCCCAUUCCAGCCAGCAGUACUUAUAGGAGUAAGGUGAAAUAGGCCAGGAAGAAUGCUCAGGAGUCUCUCUCCAUUCUUGCUUGGCUGCAGGCCAGCCUAGAAGAAGACCAUAGUAGUUUCCACUGCUCCAUCAAAGCACACAGGUUGGAAGAGGGGAAGAAUCCAUGGGGCUGUCCUGGCAGCCACAGACCAGCUCUGGUAAAUCUAUGAGGAGCUGCCCGACUCUGCCUGUGGCCUUGGUACAAAGCUUGUGCCCUCCCACUGGAACUCUUGAAGUACAGGAAUCCUCACUGGCUUGGGAAACAAUCAUGGACCGCCUACCUGCAAGCCCCCUCCCCACUGCAUCCCAGAGCUGCAAGGGAGCAUCUUUACUUGACGGGGAGAGCAGGCAACACAGGCUCUGCCUCCAGAUCCACCCUCCCCGCUCACCUCUUCCUUCACUGUCUCUACUGCCACCGCCAUGCUGAC